GGGUGUACACCCCCUGCGAUAUUGGGAGUAGUAUCAUCCUCUCCCAUCCUGGAUAUUACAAACAAUUUCACAGGGGAAUGUACACCC
rnacentral:miRNA from 1 species